GGGAUUACCCAUGCAAGUCGAGCGGAGAGAGGUAGCUUGCUACUGAUCUUAGCGGCGGACGGGUGAGUAAUGCUUAGGAAUCUGCCUAUUAGUGGGGGACAACAUUUCGAAAGGAAUGCUAAUACCGCAUACGUCCUACGGGAGAAAGCAGGGGAUCUUCGGACCUUGCGCUAAUAGAUGAGCCUAAGUCGGAUUAGCUAGUUGGUGGGGUAAAGGCCUACCAAGGCGACGAUCUGUAGCGGGUCUGAGAGGAUGAUCCGCCACACUGGGACUGAGACACGGCCCAGACUCCUACGGGAGGCAGCAGUGGGGAAUAUUGGACAAUGGGCGCAAGCCUGAUCCAGCCAUGCCGCGUGUGUGAAGAAGGCCUUAUGGUUGUAAAGCACUUUAAGCGAGGAGGAGGCUACUUUAGUUAAUACCUAGAGAUAGUGGACGUUACUCGCAGAAUAAGCACCGGCUAACUCUGUGCCAGCAGCCGCGGUAAUACAGAGGGUGCAAGCGUUAAUCGGAUUUACUGGGCGUAAAGCGCGCGUAGGCGGCUAAUUAAGUCAAAUGUGAAAUCCCCGAGCUUAACUUGGGAAUUGCAUUCGAUACUGGUUAGCUAGAGUGUGGGAGAGGAUGGUAGAAUUCCAGGUGUAGCGGUGAAAUGCGUAGAGAUCUGGAGGAAUACCGAUGGCGAAGGCAGCCAUCUGGCCUAACACUGACGCUGAGGUGCGAAAGCAUGGGGAGCAAACAGGAUUAGAUACCCUGGGUAGUCCAUAA
rnacentral:rRNA from 1 species